GCCCUGGUGGCACAGUGGUUAAGCGUUUGGCUGCUAACCAAAAGGUAGGCAGUUCAAAUCUACCAGGUGCU
rnacentral:tRNA from 1 species